rnacentral:rRNA from 1 species
CCUACGGGAGGCAGCAGUGGGGAAUUUUGGACAAUGGGGGCAACCCUGAUCCAGCAAUGCCGCGUGUGUGAAGAAGGCCUUCGGGUUGUAAAGCACUUUUGUCCGGAAAGAAAUCCCCUGGGAUAAUACCUCGGGGGGAUGACGGUACCGGAAGAAUAAGCACCGGCUAACUACGUGCCAGCAGCCGCGGUAAUACGUAGGGUGCGAGCGUUAAUCGGAAUUACUGGGCGUAAAGCGUGCGCAGGCGGUUUUGUAAGACAGGCGUGAAAUCCCCGAGCUCAACUUGGGAAUGGCGCUUGUGACUGCAAGGCUAGAGUAUGUCAGAGGGGGGUAGAAUUCCACGUGUAGCAGUGAAAUGCGUAGAGAUGUGGAGGAAUACCGAUGGCGAAGGCAGCCCCCUGGGACGUCACUGACGCUCAUGCACGAAAGCGUGGGGAGCAAACAGGAUUAGAUACCCUGGUAGUCCACGCCCUAAACGAUGUCAACUAGUUGUUGGGG